rnacentral:tRNA from 1 species
UAGCUCAGCUGGUUGAGUGUGGUGCUGGUAACACCAAGGUUGCGGGUUCGAUCCCCAU